AUUAUUCAACCAUGAAAAGGAAUGAAGUUCUCCUACAAGCUUCAACAUGGAUGGAUCUUGGAAACAUUAUGGCCUUUGGACUUGGGCUGGAACCACACCAUUGGCUCUCCUGGGUCUCCAGCUUGCCAGCUGCAGAUCUUGGAACUGCUCAGCCUCCAUAAUCAUGUAAGCCAACCAUUGGUUCCAGUUCUGUGGAGAGAGCCCUAGCACACCUGCUCUGUGUCUUUUCUCCAUAACUCUUUCCACUUUGCAACAUACUAAAUAAUUUAUCAUUACAUUUUUGAUUUGUUAUUUAUUUCUCUCACUAGAAUGUAAGUUUCACAAAGAUCUUAUUCAUUGCUGGCUCAUAAGCCUGACAGCUAGAAGACAAUAAUAUUUGCUGAAAGAAGAAACACAUAAAUAUAAAAUGCCACAUAGAGGUAAGUACUAUAAGUAAAAACAAAGCCACAUAAAGGAAAUCAAGGCACUUAUUUUUACAGAAUAUGGGGAGACACUGAAGGAACACUUAUUAUUGGGGUAAUUGCACCAGCCUUGCAAACCAGAACAUUUUAAUCAAACUGUAUUCUGAGACCUUGUAAAUUCACAUGGGGUUGUAAGAAAUAAUACAAAGAAUCUAUGUACUCUCUACCCAGUGUACCCAAACAGUAACUUUUUACAAAACAAUACUACAAUACCAUAACUAAGCUAUAGAUAUUAAUACAGCCCACAAAUCUUAUUCAGAUUUCUCCAGUGUAAUGUGCAUUGAUUUGUGCGUGUAUUUAGUUUUUUGCAAUUUUCUACAUAUUUAGGUUUAUAUAGCCACCAUCUCUGACCAAACGCUGAACAAUCUUCAUGAUAAGGAUCCUUCAUGCUGCCCUUUCUCACCACAUCUUCCUCUGUACCCUCUCCUUGCCCUCUCAAUCCUGGGCAACUACUAAUCUGCCCUCCAUUUCUAUACUUUUUGCACAAUGGCACACCUUUGAGAGCAAAGAGGACAUUAUUAAUAAUUAUGGCAGGGCAACUGGCAGAUGAGCCUGUCCCUGGUGGAACAUGACAUGUGACAACUAUUUAUUAUAGAACAAUGAUAAUAACAACCAUGCUUAGCAGUCAUGGAGUGGGGACAGCAGGCCAGGCAUCACACUGAUCCCUGUCUGUGUAGCCACUUGGAAAACUUAAACCAACCUAUGAGGCUAAUACUGUUGUUGUUUAUACUUUACUGAUGAAGAAACUGAGGCAGCGAAACAUUAAGACACCUGCCUAAAAUCACAGGAGCACAGCUUUCAGAGCCAGGAAUCAUAACUGGGUCUGUCUCAUUCCAAAGCUUGCCUUUUUAACACUUCUGCAUAUUAAACAAAUAAUUACACCAACCAAUUUAUUAAAUAAUUGUGAGUGAGCAAAGUGCUUUGAAGGAGAAGUAGCAAGGGCUACUGAAGCAUAAAAUGGGAACUUGAAAACACCUACCUCACCCAGAAUUAUUGUAAGGAGUAAAAGCUACUGGCUGGAGGGCUUUUGUAUACCAAAAGGACCUUUACAAAUAUUCAGCAUUGCCAACUUGUACAUCAGGAGAAAUGUUCUUAUGUGGAUAUUCAUCAUGUUGAAUUUCUGAGAUUUUAAGAGCAAUCUCCUUAAAAGUGCAGUAGCUUCUCAGACAUACUUUGGAAUACUGACAACAGUGGCUUUUAAAUUUUUUAAAGUCUAGUGUUUCCAAUUGCAACCCAAAGGAAGCACUCAGCCUGACAUCAUAAACUGUAAAGCAGACUUCAACCCACAGAAGAAAUUGUCUGAGUCCCCCCAGAUGUUAGAGCAUCCACCUCUGAGGAAAAGAUUCUUAUAGAUUCAGAAUCAAGUGGACAUCCUGGAAGGCUAGCACACAGAACUUUUUCUGGGUUUACUCCAAAAGAAGAUGAGCAAAAGGUCAUAUGUUUAAACAAGCAACAAGUGGAUGUUUGCUGGAUACACUUUAUUGGAUCUCUAAGUGAUACAUCCUGGGGAGGAAAAGAGAAAAAGGACAUGAAUCUUUGUGCUAAGAGUAAGGAGUUACUGAAAAUCGUGACUGAUGACCCAGCCUAUUUAUAACUGCUCAGAAUUCAAGGAAGCCAUGUGAGAAGGAGCCAGUACAUACCACAGUCUUACCUGCCUUGCCCCCAACUAUGUAGUAGGACUUUGGAGAUGGCAACUUGAAGAAUGUGGCUCCUUGCCAGCUAUACAUUAUAAAAAAUGGGUACGGCAGUUGAGUCAGGCAGAGAAGUUACUGGAAGUGGGAAUUAAACCAAAGAGAAACUAAA